rnacentral:lncRNA from 1 species
AGCUUUAUAAUUGAAGUCUAAGAUCAUAAAAAUAACUUCUUUUGCAAUUUAUUUUUCUCAGAAAAGCAUGUGGGGCUCCCUUGGCAUCUUUGACUUGUAGAAAGCGUAAUAUGGAGUUUCCAGACUAGAACACAAGCUCCAUAAAAAGAGCAAGAAGACAGAUGUUGACUUCCUCCAGCGUUGCUGACUCACCCUUCCCCGAUCUUUGAUUUGGGUUGUGUUCCUCCCUAGCAACUUUUCUGAUGUGUUAAUGUCAUUCAUUCUUAGCACAUGACUGACCCAGCAUCUGUUCUUUUCCUAAUGAAUGAAGUACUGGGAGAGAAGGGUAUUCCAUAGGGGAAAAAAGCAGAGCUGAAAAUGCACAGAAAUUUUCAUGUGCCAAGUUUGGAAGUGGGGAAAGAAUUCUGUGGUUAAAUACCCACUGGAUAGGAGGAAAGAGAAGGGAAGAGGAGCAGGGAUGAAGAGCCAGAAAAUGGUAAGAAGAUGGGGGCCAGUAAACAUUCAAGGGAUGGAGAGCCAACAAAUAUUUUUAAGAAUGCUAUAGCUUAAUUGUUACUAUUAUUUGCAUUGCUAUGAAAUAAUCCUUCAUUCUUCUCCCUUAUACAAAUUUUCAAAAUAUUUUAGCAACUUUUCGAGACUACACCUGUUCUGUGGAAACUAAAGAGUGCUAUGUUUGUGUGUGGGUUAGUGCAGUAUGUCACAGAGGAAUCAUGAGCCCAGAUGGCAGAGGAGGCUAUGAGAAACAGACCUGUGGGAAUUUGCAGAAAUUUUGGCAUAAAACCUUGGCCUUUUACUAGGGCAUGAAAUUGUUGCGGGCUCAAGGCAAUUAUUCCUACAUCUCUGAAGAGACGAGGGGCCCCAGGCUGACAUCUAAUUUACAUUUGAUUGUACCCAAAGUCAAUACUUUGUGUAUGACAAAAUGAUAUCCAAAAGGGGCAUGUAAGUUCAGAGUUUCUUUUCUUUGUGAAGACAUAGCCGAACGAUUAGUUGUAUUAAUUUCAGGAUUAAUGACCUUUGAAUAAAUUAGAAACUGAC